AUCGUUUUCUUAUAUACACUGAGUAGAUAAAAAAAAAAAAUCUGUUCUUAUCAGUUUAAUAUCUGAUACGUCCCCUAUCUGGGGACCAUAUAUUAAAUGGAUUUUUGGAACAGGGAGAUGGAAGAAGAGCUUGCUCUGUCCACUCCACGCAUCGACCUGGUAUUGCAGUACCUCCAGGACCGGUGCACUUCUC
rnacentral:snRNA from 1 species